UUCAGAUCCUAAAUGAAACAGCAAGAAGAUCUGUCAGCCACAGCAAUGGAGGAUAAAAGAGAACUAAAACUAAACAGCAAUAGCUAAUUGCCAUCAAUUCAUGGAAGAAUUCAACUCACAACUAUUUGCUUAAAUGAGGCUUACAGCUGACAAGACAAAGGUGUUGUUCUGUUUAUGGAAUGUAUCACAUUGGAGGACGUACGUAAGAGAAAGUUAAUCGGUACAAUAUACAAAACGUAAUGCUGAAAAGUCCCUAUUUUGGGAAAAACAGGGGUAAGGUGACAUGAAGACACGAAAAAAAAAGGGGACAGCAAACAUUAGAUAAAUUGAAGCCUGCGCAUGUGUAUUGUAUAGGUUAUAUAAGCAUUAUCUUAAUGUUGAUUGGAUGAAAGCUAAUGAAUAUAUAUUAUGGGAAGGUAGCAAAAACCAAAUGAACAAGGGUCCCAAGUCCAGAAACUCAGAAGGGAAGAAAAGCUUCCUGGUACCCCAGAACUUGAUAAGUUGGACCCCUAUCUGUUCCAUCUUAUCUGUUUUAUUACGUCAUAUGUAUAUGACCAGAAACUAAGCGACAAUAAUUCUUUUUUAAAAUUCAUAAAUAAAAGCAAGAAUUGGGUGGA